UGACUCUGUUCAACGGCCGCGGUAUCCUAACCGUGCGAAGGUAGCGUAAUCACUUGUUCUUUAAAUGAGGACUAGUAUGAAUGGCACCACGAAGGUUAUGCUGUCUCCUUUUUCUAAUCAGUGAAACUAAUCUUCCCGUGAAGAAGCGGGAAUAAUAAUAUAAGACGAGAAGACCCUAUGGAGCUUUAAACAGAUAUACAAUUGCCUCCAAUACAAAAAAUUUCAGAAAAUAAAUAACCACCCAGGCAUUUUGAUAUAAAGUUUUCGGUUGGGGUGACCACGGAGCAAAAAAUAACCUCCGCAAUGAAAGGGAAUUUUACCCUAAACCCAGGGCUACAACCCUAAGUAUCAAUAAUUUGACACUAAUUGACCCAAUACACUUGAUCAAUGAACCAAGUUACCCUAGGGAUAACAGCGCAAUCCAUUUCAAGAGCUCCUAUCGACAAAUGGGUUUACGACCUCGAUGUUGGAUCAGGGUAUCCCAGUGGUGCAGCCGCUACUAACGG
rnacentral:rRNA from 1 species